UACGUAGGGGGCAAGCGUUGUCCGGAAUCAUUGGGCGUAAAGAGCGUGUAGGCGGUCCGGUAAGUCGGCUGUGAAAGUCCAGGGCUCAACCCUGGGAUGCCGGUCGAUACUGCCGGACUAGAGUUCGGAAGAGGCGAGUGGAAUUCCCGGUGUAGCGGUGAAAUGCGCAGAUAUCGGGGAGGAACACCUAUGGCGAAGGCAGCUCGCUGGGACGUUACUGACGCUGAGACGCGAAAGCGUGGGGAGCAAACAGG
rnacentral:rRNA from 1 species